UAAUGAGCCAAGAGCACAUCUUUUAGAGUUAAGAGCGUGGACCACUUCCACACUCGAAGUGUGAGGGGACAUACUAUGAGCUAGAGAGAGGCAAAUAAAUAGAAGUUUACAUGCCACACAGUCAUUUAGGCUUGUAACACACACAUAGAGCAGCAAACUCUCAGGCUCCUCUGCAGAAACGCUGCAGCCUGUCUGCCGGCAUGAAGCAGAAUUUCCUAAUCCCAUUAGCUGGGCCCUGGUACCUAUCGGUGUGUUAUUAACUAACCUUAAUUUAAGAAGCUGUAAAUUUUGAGAAGAUUAUACACCUAACACUCCUGAGACUGACUCGAGUGCAUUACACUGGCCUCUGACAAGAAUGUGUCCAUUCUGAGCAUUUGUAUUUGGCUCUAUUCUGAUAAAAACUCAAAAUGUAGCUCCUUAUAAAAUGAACCUGAUAAGUGAGACUCUAGAUCAGCGUGGUCCCAUAGGAAUAGAAUGCAGGUCGCCGAACUACGUGUGUAAUAUUACCUUUUCCAACGACUAUUAAACUAAAUAAAAAUAAACAGAUGAAGUCAGUUUUAAAGACAUAUUUAUCUAACCUAUGAUAUUAUCGUAUCAAUAGGUAACCAGUAUACAUUUAUUAAUGGAGUAUUUUACAUUUUUCCAUAGUGCCGUCUGGUAUUUUGCAACAAUAGCACAUCUCAGCUCAAACCAGCCCCCCCUCAAGUGCUCAGUAGCUCACGUGGCCAGUGCAGGGGUAGACGGGCCAGGUAAUGAGAAGCCUCUUAGGAAAGUCUUCCCAAGAUUCUGCUUGGCCAAGAGAAGCUCACGCGGAGGUGGAGGCCAAGGUGUGUGCGGCAGCCGUCUGGACAUCUGUGCGAUCGACGCCGACGUUGGAAGAGUCAUAGAGCGUGGGUCCUGAGAAAGGCCCGGGGCUCCACAUCUGAGGAAUCAUCUACAGGCUCAUAAAACCUGUGUCUUGCUUGCGGAGGAGUUAGGCCGCGGCUCUUUGCCAGAGGAGCUUACGCAUGAAAACAAAAGGCAGCAGGUAUUUGCCUCCACACCCAGGUCUUUUGUUGUUGUUGUUGUUAUUCAAAUAUUUUUUUUUCUUCACUGGCUUUUAUUUUCUUUCUUUCUUUCUUUCUUUCUUUCUUUCUUUCUUUCUUUCUUUCUUUCUUCUUUCUUUCUUCUUUUUAAUAAUAAAUUUAUUUGAACCCCCUGACUUCACCUGACCUCCCUGCAGCUAGCCGAGUGCAGGGACUAGCUGGAAGUUUGUCUCAAGUGUGGGGUUCCCCAGGACACCCCGACUGCUCAAGCAAGGCAGGAGCCGGCCCCAGAAGUCGUCUCUGCCUUCACGGACUCCCACCCGUGAGACUCUGCGGAGCACCUUCAGCUCCUGGCCGCCCCCUUUGGAGGAAGGACUUCGUCCCCCGGGUGCUGGGUGGGGGGCUGGCCUGCGGGAGUCCUCGCCCCUGAACGCUGCACAUCACGGGCAGGUCUGGCCUUCUGAAGGGAAGCCUGCUCCCCCGACCUCCUGCGGGCAUUUAGAAUAAGGGGGCAUCACGGGAACGCUAUUAGAGUGAGGCCUGCGUGGUGGCGACGUAAGCUUUGUGUUUGAGAACCCUAUUCCUGGCUUCCUGUUCUCUAUCCAGGCCACCAAAACUGUGACACGAGGAGAGUUUUAGUUACUUUUUAAAAAACGAGUGAGAACAGACGUGUAACACUGUGGUAGGCUUCCCGGGUACAAUGUGUUGCUUCAAUACGUCUCUAUCGGGCAGUGGGAUGACCCCCUAGGUCGCCAGCUUCCCUAUCAUGCCCC
rnacentral:lncRNA from 1 species